rnacentral:rRNA from 1 species
GACUCUUAGCGGUGGAUCACUCGGCUCGUGCAUCAAUGAAGAACGCAGCUAGCUGUGAGAACUAAUGUGAAUUGCAGAACUCUUGUAACUUUUUGCUGUGCACACUUGCACACAACCUAGCAAUCUUGUAAAAUCUGCAGUGAGAGGUG